UACGUAGGGGGCAAGCGUUGUCCGGAAUUAUUGGGCGUAAAGAGCGUGUAGGCGGCCAGAUAAGUCCGCUGUGAAAUCUCGAGGCUCAACCUCGAGACGCCGGUGGAAACCGUAAGGCUAGAGUCCGGAAGAGGAGAGUGGAAUUCCUGGUGUAGCGGUGAAAUGCGCAGAUAUCAGGAGGAACACCUAUUGCGAAGGCAGCUCGCUGGGACGUAACUGACGCUGAGACGCGAAAGCGUGGGGAGCAAACAGG
rnacentral:rRNA from 1 species